GAUGAACGCUGGCGGCGUGCCUAAUACAUGCAAGUCGAGCGAAGCGGGGACGGGUGAGUAACACGUGGAUAACCUCCUUUAUGACUGGGAUAACUUCGGGAAAACGGAGCUAAACCGGAUGCUUAUACAUGGUUCCGCGUUGCAGUAGCUAGUGGGUAAGGUAACGGCUUACCAAGGCAACGAUGCAUAGCCGACCUGAGAGGAUGAGCGGCCACACUGGAACUGAGACACGGUCCAGACUCCUACGUGAGGCAGCAGUGGGGAAUCUUCCGCAAUGGGCGAAAGCCUGACAGAGCAACGCCGCGUGAGUGAUGAAGGUCUUCGGAUCGUAAAGCUCUGUUAGUGGGGAAGCGGUACCUAAUCAGAAAGCCACGGCUAACUACGUGCCAGCAGCCGCGGUAAUUC
rnacentral:rRNA from 1 species